rnacentral:misc_RNA from 1 species
GUAGGUGAACCUGCGGAAGGAUCAUUACCGGGACAAGGGGCUGCUGCCCCGGACCUCCAACCCGUGUCUACACACCUUCGUUGCUUUGGCGGGCCCGUGCUCGGGCUGGCCCCGGCACCCCCGGUACCGGUGAGUGCCCGCCGAAAGCCCUUCAAAAAUCGUUUACCGGUGAAGUCUGAGGAGCAGAAAACAACUAAAACUUUCAACAACGGAUCUCUUGGUUCUG